AAUAAUAAUUGUUCAGUUUCUAAUUGUUCAAAACGCAUAGAUCUCAAAUCUACCUG
rnacentral:antisense_RNA from 1 species